rnacentral:tRNA from 1 species
GGGGACUUAGCUCAGUGGUAGAGUGCUUGCCUAGGAAGCGCAAGGCCCUGGGUUCGGUCCCCAGCCCCG